AAUAAAUCUGAGGGGUGAGUAGUCAAGGGAGAGAGAUGUAAACAAGUCUUAACUAGGCUUUUCUGGUUACUUUUUUCUGCCAUUGACCUGGUGAAGGACAGAGUGACAGCAUUCUUGUAAGGACUCUCAAUAAGGGUGUCUCAUUUACCUAGACUGCAGUUUUCAACUCCUCGUGAAACUGGAGUGCAUGAACGCUGGAAGCAGCCAGCUGUUUCAACGCCAGCAGGGCCGAACUCCACUCACUGGGACCUGCUGCACAGGAUGCAUAUCCUCCAAGUUGACAGUCCCUAAAGCAACCCAACUUUCCUUUUUCUAUGUUCAUUGCCUAAUUUUUUAGGCUAUUUCAUAAGUAUCCUUGUGAAUUCACUAUCAACAUUCAGUAUCAGUGUGACCUGCACUCCACUGCACUCCAGCCUGGACAACAAAGUGAGACCCUGUCUCUAAAAGAAAAAGAAAAUUGGAAUCCAUAUGAGUACUAGUUCUUUGUGAAAUUAAUAUGGUGAGGAAAAAUAUCUUUCUCCCAAAAGGUAAUUUUAUACCAAAUUAUAUGCAACUGUAGAGUAAAAUAUUUGUUUUGUUUCAAAUUAUAUUCACAAAUUUUUUGAUGUAUAUUUGGUAAGUUUUAAAAUUGACAAUCACUCUUAACUCUGUAUGAAUGAGCUGCAUGAUUAUAUGAUAAUUAAACAGAAAAGUACAGCAAAGUUUCUAAAUAAUACUGACUAAAGAAUUAUGUUAUUUUAAUGAUAUGUAACACAAUCAAAUUAUAUCACACAUUAUAUAAUGAAUAUAAAAUAUAUUAUUUUCUCUAACAUAGAGAAAUCACAUAAUUUCUACCACCAAUUAUUUUACAAAUGUAAGUACAUUUUUUUCUUCAAUCCAUGUAAAGAAAAUUGAAAAUUGCUCAUCACCAAAUAUAAGGAUGACCUUUCCAGUAUAACAUAAGAGUUUUGUUUUUGCUUCUGUUCAUUGUCAAUCUUUACUUUGAUUUUAUUAAAAAUACAUUAAAAUAUUUUUUGGCCAAUUUUACUAAUGAUAGUAAAGCCCAUUGAUAUUUUUACCAAUACAAAUUACUUGCUUUAUAUGUUGCUUGCUCUACUUCCAUUUCCUUUCAGGUUCUCACUCAUUUUGUAUUUCAAAUGAUUUUGUAUCUCAGAAUCCUAAGGAUUUGUGUCUCAAAUCCUAAUUUACAGAUAGUAUCUUAAUUAUUUUGAUUGCAUGUCCUGAUGAAAUCCUGUGUGAAUUCACUUCAUGGAUAUAUAAGUACUCCUCUCUUAAUACUACAUUAGUUAUAAAAUUUAAUCUGCUUAGAAACAUCUUCUUGUUACCCAAGAAUAAAAAUUUUCUUCAAAAAUUACAUAUAUCUUAAUAAUGGCAUGGUUCUAGUAUCAAAAGUCUUUAGCCUACAACAUUGGCAAAAUCUGAGACCAUCUAUUUCUUGAAACACAGUCCGGUGCAUUCUAUAAUUUGGAUACAGACCAGGUUUACAUAAUCAUGCUGAUGAAGCCAUUCCAGAGAGACUAAUGAAUAAAACGAGAGUAUGUUUUCCUUUCCAGAUCAAGAGACAAUUCUGCUGAUAAAAUCCUGGUAAUUGUCAGAUUGAAUCAGAUCCAUUGUCUUCCAGACCAAUGUCUCAUAUAAUAUUUUUCGCUGUAAUUUCAUUUGACAUAAACUGUAACUGUUUGGGAUGAGACUAAGAUAUGAUAACCUGGGUUCAAAUAUCAUAUGGGUUUCAUUGCUUCAAACGUCUUAUCCACUAUUAAAAAGUGUAUGAAAUAGUUUCUGUUAACUCUAAUUUUGACAAUGUAAUGCUGCAAAGACUUGCUCUGUUAAUUUUUAUUCUUUGUUGUUUUAUAUUUUAUUUAUAUACAUUGUCAUUGUUUACAUUUUCUUCAGAACUCUUUAGACUUCCCCAAAAAUGGCAGCAUUCUUACCCUUGAAUCAAUUUUAUCUCUUUUUUAAAUACAAUAAUUUAAUUGAAUGUUUUUUGAGAAUGAGAAUUUUAACUUGAGACAUAGGCAGAUCAGUAUAUAUAUAUAAACUUAGUAAUGUAUAAAUAUAAUAUGUAUUGGUAUCUAUAUAGUUAUAGUGGUUAUUUAUUAGCUGAAUUUUAUUUAUAGUGUCUUCACUUUUUCUAUAGCUUCACUAAAUUUGUCUACUUUUUCUGUCAAUCGCUGUAUAAGGUGUGCUAAAACCACCCAAUAAGAUGGUGGAUUAGCCAAUAAUUCCUUGUAUUUUCAUCUUUCUUUACAUAUUUUGAAACUAUAGUGUUAGAUACAUGAAAUUUGGAAUGUUUUUAAAAUCUGGCAUAUUGAAUUUUCAGUUCGAGAUAUUUUAAUACUCUUUAUACUAGUAUUUUGUUUGCUUUCUUGCUAUUUAGCUAUUAUUAACUGCCUGAUAAUUUUUUUUCUGUGUAUAUUCCAUCUUUAAUUUUUAAAUUUUGGUUGUAUUAUCUUCUGGGUGUGUUGUUUGUCUCUACUGUGAAUGACAUAUAAAUACACCCUUUUAGAUCACACACACACACACACACACACACACACGAUAGCUAAUGUAGCAAAUUCAGCAUCAGAAGACAUGCACUACCACUAUAAUAUAUCGAUAAAAACUAAAAGUUUCUUUGCUGGAUACAGGGAAUGAAAUACCCACUCUCCAAACCCAGCUUCGAAGAAACCCUCAGUGACUGACUUUGCAAAGUGGUUGUCUGUGUACUCCAGCCCCCUCAGCCCUUUAGGAGCAAAUUCUGAUAUGUAUGUUUUGCAUAGUUUCCCAAAGGUUUCCUUUAGAAUUAACUUGACAUCUAUAAGAGCAAUUAAAUGCAUCUUUUUAUUGGCUUCUUUCUCAUUCCAUACUUUCCUACUUGUAUUCAUGCAAACACCAAAUAAAUUACAUGUACUCAAAUCCUUUUCUCAUGGUCUGCUUCUGAGAAAACCCAACAGAAAAUUCGAAAGUUCCAAUGUUUUUGUUACCUAGGAAAUAUAUUCAUAUUUAUAUGUAUUGAGUUUUUGAUAUGAUAGAAUUUAUUUUGACCAUCUCAUUUUGCCUUUUUUAUGUUCUCUAUAUUUAUAAUUUUCUUUAUAGCUUGGAGUACAUACUGGGACGACAUUUAUUAUUUCAGAACUUACUUUUAUCUUUACUUCAUUCUACCCAAAGGAAAGAAAAGGAAGCCUGAAGUUAAUUUUAGAGAGAAAAUGCAUUUGCAAUACAAAGAGGAUAAAAAAAUCUAUAUAUGUUAAAUACACUAGAGCAAGCAUUUAAAAACAAUUCUAGAGUAUGAUUUCAAAUUACCUGUCCAAGAGACAGGAAAAUAGUUGUAAAUCACGGAGGAAUAUUUGAUACUCAGGCAUGUGCUUUGAUCAUUAAAAAAAGAGUUGCAAUAUCAGAAUAUUAUUUAUUUUGUAACUUUGAAAGGGGAACAAAUUAUAAAAAUCUAGUAAGUAUAACAACAGCAACUACCAUUGAUCAAGUGCUUACAAUGGCAAAGGCAUAGUGCUCAGAACUUUUCAUGCAUUCCCUCCUUCACUUUUCAUCAUAGCCCUGGGGAGUUGCACUGAUAUCUCUGUUUUGCAGAUGAGGAAUCUGAAGUUUCAAUAGAUUCAGUAAGUUGACCAUGUGAUAGAAAGUGCCCACAUUACUCUGAUAUGAAUUAAAUAAAUCGUAGAAAUAUUUAAGCAUUCUGGAAGAGGAUGAACUUGAAAAUAUUUUUUCUGAGGCAAACAGUUAUGAAUGUUUUGAAGUGUUUAAUAAUUCUCUUCUGCAGUGUAUUGCUGUAUGUCAUAUAAUACUGUAAUAAAGAUCCUGUAAUUUUAAAAAUCAUGUGCUAUCUAAACUUUCUGAAUAAUAUAAAAUUUCAAAAAAUAUUUUCUCUUCAUAGAUAUUUCCCUCAAUUGAAGGUCCAGAUCUGUUUUUCAUACAUACAUGUAUUUUUCACGUAUGUAUAUAUUUUACACAUGUAUGUGUAAAAAUUUA
rnacentral:lncRNA from 10 species